rnacentral:rRNA from 1 species
CAAGUCGAACGCGAAAGUCCCCUUCGGGGGGCGAGUAGAGUGGCGCACGGGUGAGUAACACGUAGGUAAUCUACCUUUGGAUGGGGAAUAACAACCGGAAACGGUUGCUAAUACCGCAUAAUGCAGCGGCACCUAAUGGUGACAGUUGUUAAAGCGGGGGAUCGCAAGACCUCGCGUCUGAAGAGGAGCCUGCGGCAGAUUAGCUAGUUGGUAGGGUAACGGCUUACCAAGGCGAUGAUCUGUAGCCGGCCUGAGAGGGCGGUCGGCCACACUGACACUGACAUACGGGUCAGACUCCUACGGGAGGCAGCAGUCGGGAAUUUUGGGCAAUGGGCGAAAGCCUGACCCAGCAACGCCGCGUGAAGGAUGAAAUCCCUCGGGAUGUAAACUUCGCAAGAACGGGAAGAAUAAGUAAGAGUUAAUAUCUCUUAUGAUGACGGUACUGUUUGUAAGCUCCGGCUAACUCCGUGCCAGCAGCCGCGGUAAUACGGGGGGAGCAAGCGUUGUUCGGAUUUACUGGGCGUAAAGGGCGCGUAGGCGGCCACCGCAAGUCGACUGUGAAAUCUCCGGGCUUAACCCGGAAAGGUCAGCCGAUACUGCGGGGCUAGAGUGCAGAAGGGGCAACUGGAAUUCUCGGUGUAGCGGUGAAAUGCGUAGAUAUCGAGAGGAACACCUGCGGCGAAGGCGGGUUGCUGGGCUGACACUGACGCUGAGGCGCGAAAGCUAGGGGAGCGAACGGGAUUAGAUACCCCGGUAGUCCUAGCCUUAAACGAUGAAUGCUUGGUGUCUGGGGUUUUAUA